AGUGGUUAUAGAGAAAAAUACCAUUGUUAUCUUCUUAGUAGUACAGAGGUCUGUGGGGCAUAGGAAGGCCCCUAUAAGGCACAGAGGAAGCACUGAGUGGGGAGGGUAUCUGGAUCUCUCCGAAGAAGCCCUGGUGUGUGUGUGCUGAUUUUUACAAAGAGCCCAAGAAGGGACUGAGGUGAUGGCACUUAUACUAAGUUUGCUGAACUGGAGCUUGACAUAAGAAGUGGACCUGGGCUUGUGUACCAGCUACUGGGAAGGGGGUGUAAAGCCCUCUGAUGUAAGGUAUUAAGAAUAACUUAUAGUCUGAAGAAUAUGGUGUUAGGCCCAUGAGGCUCAGACCUGCAGCUAAGGAUCAGAUAUAAGGAUGCUGGAUUGUCUGUUGGGGUGUCUAUUAUCCUGGAAGGGGACUGGCUGGAGGGCCAAGCUACGAGAACAGGUAGAGCUACUAGACCAUCACAGGACCAGAAUGACUGUUGGCAGAGAGCUUCUGGAAAGGAAAGAGAUACAAUACUAUUUCCAGGCAUGAGGGGUUGUGUCAGCAAAUGCAAGAGCUGACACUACAAUGGAUAGAAGUGUCUGAAUGGAUCAAGCUAUGUUCACUCACCAAGAGUUAAGCAUAUGGACAAUUCACACUUCUCCUCCCUAAAAUUCCACCACUGGAAAGUACCAAAUGAUGUGUAGGGUCAUUCUGCCGUUGAUGUGUCCAUUCUCGUCAAUAGAUGUUCCAUGCACAUUUUGAAGUACUCAGGGAAAGGCUGAUAAGAGGGGCUGUUGGGAAGACAAAGUAGAAAGAAUGAAUUCAGGAAUUUCAGGCUCUACAGCCAAUGUCCUAGAACUGGGUCAAACCUGAGGUUUUUCUAUUUUACUUACUUUAUUUUGUUUAUAAACAUAAACCUUGAAGGCAAUAUCAUGCUGAUUGAAAAUAUUUUUUGUGCUGCAUCACUGGCUGUGAAAGACACUACUAUUAAAAAUAAAUAGUACUGUAAAUAGUUAAGUGUUGUCUAAAAUUGUCACAAUUGUCUGUUAUAUUGGUGAU